GGGCGCGUAGCUCAGCGGUAGAGCACCUGCUCGACACGCAGGGGGUCCCAAGUUCGAUCCUUGGCGCGCCCACCA
rnacentral:tRNA from 1 species